GAUGAAUGCUGGCGGCGUGCCUAACACAUGCAAGUCGAGCGGCAGCGCGGGGUGCUUGCACCCUGUCGGCGAGCGGCGAACGGCUGAGUAACGCGUAGGAAUUUGCCCCAAAGUGAGGAAUAACUGCCCGAAAGGGUAGCUAAUGCCGCAUAUGGUCUUCGGAUUAAAGGAUUUAUCCGCUUUGGGAGAAGCCUGCGUUGGAUUAGGUUGUUGGUAGGGUAAUGGCCUACCAAGCCGACGAUCCAUAGCUGGUCUGAGAGGAUGAUCAGCCAGACUGGAACUGAGACACGGUCCAGACUCCUACGGGAGGCAGCAGUGAGGAAUCUUCCACAAUGGGCGAAAGCCUGAUGGAGCAACGCCGCGCGAAGGAUGAAGGCCUUCGGGUUGUAAACUUCUUUUAUGAGUGAAGAAUAUGACGGUAACUCAUGAAUAAGCACCGGCUAACUACGUG
rnacentral:rRNA from 1 species